AAUGGACCAAUUUGUAAGUCGCUCUGGAUAAGAGCGUCUGCUAAAUGACGUAAA
rfam:Salmo salar isolate Sally breed double haploid chromosome ssa19, whole genome shotgun sequence.